rnacentral:rRNA from 1 species
AGCGAACGUUGGCGGCGCGCUUAACACAUGCAAGUCGAACGCGAAAAGCCCUCGGGCUGAGUAGAGUGGCGCACGGGUGAGUAACACGUGAAUAAUCUGCCCUUUUGCCCGGGAUAACAUGCCGAAAGGUGUGCUAAUACCGGAUAAGACCACGGCCUCUUCGGGGGCGGUGAGAAAACGACGGGGAUCCGAAAGGACCUAUCACAAAAGGAUGAGUUCGCGGCCUAUCAGCUAGUUGGCGGGGUAACGGCCCACCAAGGCUAAGACGGGUAGCUGGUCUGAGAGGAUGAUCAGCCACACUGGAACUGAGACACGGUCCAGACUCCUACGGGAGGCAGCAGGUGGGGUAAUUUUGCGCAAGUGGGCGAAAGCCUGACGCAGCGACGCCGCGUGUGCGAUGAA